GACGAUCCGACGAGAUAACCGCACGAAGGAAGCAGCAUCCUUGUUCUCGCGUUCUCCAACGCCCCCCACGGAAUAAAAAAAGGGGCGCCGCAGCGGGAACGCCUUGGCGAAUCGCUCGAUCGUUUCGACGUGAACGUCGACACUGUUUCACGGUCGGCGCGACUCUCACCGUGUCGAUCGCGAUCGUGGAAAAAAGCCAAGGUGGAUCGGGAAUGAAAAGUUUUACGGUAAGAACGCGGCUCGUCGACUGAUAAAUUCGCAUUUAGUGUAGCGGCCUCACGUACACGCCGGGCUCUUGCCGGCUCCACCAAAGGCAUGAUUGGUCUGCGUGUCGGUGCCCCCGCCGCCCCCUCCUCCGCCCCCCAGGGGCGGACAACCGAGGCAGAGCGCCGUCGCCGUCCUCCGACAACGACGGGGGCGCCACCGCGCGGCACCGACGCCGACGCCCGCCACCGAUCGAUAGUCACCGACCGACCGACGACGACGACGACGAUGACGACGACGACGACGACGACGACGAAGACGAAGACGACGACGAUGAGGAGGACUACGAUGAGGACGACGACAACGAUGACGACGAGAACGACGACGACGACGAUGACGACGAGAACGACGACGAUGAGAACGACGACGAUGAGAACGACGACGACGAGGACGACGACGCCGCCGACCACCACCACUACGCCACGGAACCGCUAUACUACUAUUGCACUCCGGUUAGUCGGCCCCGCUACUUGUUUGCAGUAAUAUGCGUGUACUUUCGGCAUCGCUCCCGAUUUUUCGAUCAAAUCUCACUACAUGUUAGUCGUUCGUUAGUUACGAUUAUACGGCGUGGGCGUUAACGUAUCUACCGUCUCGUUAUUCAAUUUUCUAGGACGAUCGAGGAAACGAAGACUUGGUGGUGACGGCACGUAUUCUAUAAAUAUAAACAAAUCGCACAGCUUUCGAUCUUUAUUUGUACCUUUACGACCACGCCUUCGAUACUCAUCGUUAUCAAUUUGCCGUGUUUUGCUCAUGAUUUCAUGAAAGUCUCCGUAAAACGUCUCUAGACAUUGCAGGGCUUGUCCAUUCGCGAAACGAGCGAGCGAGCGGCGCCUUAAAAUACGGUCGCAGGACCGUCAUUAGGAACACCUUUUAAGUGCGCCUCGGGCGAGCACUGUUGCCGCGAUAAGGGUGGAGGCGCUUCCUUCUCGUACUCCCGUCAGCGUACGCAUCGUGCGUAAUGUGAACCGGAUGAAGGGGUGGGAGGCCAGGAAGAGAGUGAACGAGAGUGAAAAAAAGGAACGAGAAAAGAAAAAAAAGAAAAAAGGGAAAAGAACACGGAGGAGGUAGAGCGUGCGAGAGACUAAGAGGGAAAAAAAGGGAGCUUCAGUGAAAAGGAGGCGAGUAUAAACGUAAAAGGGGAGCGACCGAGAAAGAGUUUUAAAAAGAGAGACAGAGAGGCAGACAGAGAAAGAAGAAACAGAUGUAGAGCAGCGAGGUCGUAACGAAGGGAAAGAGACGAAUUACGUGAAAGAACGGAUAAGGGAAUAGGGUUCGGAAAGAGA